AUUGAACGCUGGCGGCAGGCCUAACACAUGCAAGUCGAACGGUAACAGGAAGCAGCUUGCUGCUUCGCUGACGAGUGGCGGACGUGUGAGUAAUGUCUGGGAAACUGCCUGAUGGAGGGGGAUAACUACUGGAAACGGUAGCUAAUACCGCAUAACGUCGCAAGACCAAAGAGGGGGACCUUAGGGCCUCUUGCCAUCGGAUGUGCCCAGAUGGGAUUAGCUAGUAGGUGGGGUAACGGCUCACCUAGGCGACGAUCCCUAGCUGGUCUGAGAGGAUGACCAGCCACACUGGAACUGAGACACGGUCCAGACUCCUACGGGAGGCAGCAGUGGGGAAUAUUGCACAAUGGGCGCAAGCCUGAUGCAGCCAUGCCGCGUGUAUGAAGAAGGCCUUCGGGUUGUAAAGUACUUUCAGCGGGGAGGAAGGGAGUAAAGUUAAUACCUGUGCUCAUUGACGUUACCCGCAGAAGAAGCACCGGCUAACUCCGUG
rnacentral:rRNA from 1 species